GAUGAAGAACGCAGCGAAAUGCGAUAAGUAAUGUGAAUUGCAGAAUUCAGUGAAUCAUCGAAUCUUUGAACGCACAUUGCGCCCCUUGGUAUUCCGAGGGGCAUGCCUGUUCGAGCGUCAUUAUAACCCCUCAAGCUCAGCUUGGUGUUGGGGCCUGCUGCACUGGCAGCCCUUAAAAUCAGUGGCGGCGCCAUCUGGCUCUAAGCGUAGUAUUUCUUCUCGCUAUGGAGUCCUGGUGGAUGCUUGCCAUCAACCCCCAAUUUUUCUAUGGUUGACCUCGGAUCAGGUAGGGAUACCCGCUGAACUUAAGCAUAUCAAUAAGCGGAGGA
rnacentral:misc_RNA from 1 species